UUUGGACUCGCCUAAUGGUAGGGCAGCUGCCUCUGAAGCAGAAGGUUCCAGGUUCGAGUCCUGGGUCCAAAACCA
rnacentral:tRNA from 1 species